AGAGUUUGAUCCUGGCUCAGGAUGAACGCUGGCGGCGUGCCUAACACAUGCAAGUCGAACGGGGCGCGCAGGCUGAGGCUUUUCGGAGCGGAAGCCGGCGCUGUCCAGUGGCGGACGGGUGAGUAACGCGUGGGCAACCUGCCCUGCACUGGGGGACAACAGCCGGAAACGGCUGCUAAUACCGCAUAUGCCCGCAGCCCCGCAUGGGGCGGCGGGGGAAGCUCCGGCGGUGCAGGAUGGGCCCGCGUCUGAUUAGCUGGUUGGCGGGGCAACGGCCCACCAAGGCGACGAUCAGUAGCCGGCCUGAGAGGGUGGGCGGCCACAUUGGGACUGAGACACGGCCCAGACUCCUACGGGAGGCAGCAGUGGGGGAUAUUGCACAAUGGGGGGAACCCUGAUGCAGCGACGCCGCGUGGGCGAUGGAGUGCUUCGGCAUGUAAAGCCCUAUCAGCAGGGAAGAAAAUGACGGUACCUGACUAAGAAGCCCCGGCCAAAUACGUGCCAGCAGCCGCGGUAAUACGUAUGGGGCAAGCGUUAUCCGGAUUUACUGGGUGUAAAGGGAGCGUAGGCGGCCUGGCAAGCCUGAUGUGAAAUACCGGGGCCCAACCCCGGGGCUGCAUUGGGAACUGCCAGGCUGGAGUGCCGGAGAGGCAGGCGGAAUUCCUAGUGUAGCGGUGAAAUGCGUAGAUAUUAGGAGGAACACCAGUGGCGAAGGCGGCCUGCUGGACGGUGACUGACCGCUGAAGGCUCGAAAGCGUUGGGGAAGGCAAACAGGAUUAGAUACCCCUGGCAGUCCACCCCCGUAAAACCGAUGAAAACUAGG
rnacentral:rRNA from 1 species